UAAUACUAGCGGUCCAAGUCGCAGCCAUUUUUAUUGGGUCUAAAACAUCCGUAGCUUGUUUGAUAAGUUUCUUGUGAAAUUUCAUGUCUCAAGUAUGAAGCGCGCAAGAAGUACUAUCAAGCUAGAGACUGGGAGACGUGAGAAGUACGUUCAAAGUAGCGGUAAAAUGUUUUAAUCUUGAACGGACUCACAAUUAGCGAAGGCAUCUUACGAGAACAGUUCUGACAGUAAGGGAUGAAGGCUAGGGGCGCAAAACGGAUUAGAUACCCGUGUAGUCCUAGCAGUAAACACUGCACACUAAACAUCGGUACCUCCUCGAGAGGUGUCGGUGCUGCAGGGAAGCCGAAGAGUGUGCUACCUGGGAAGUAUAGUCGCAAGGCCG
rnacentral:rRNA from 1 species